GUAACAACAACAACAUCCCAAUGUAUUCCCACAAGUACUAAGGAAAAAUGGCAGAGACGGGCAAGUAGAUUCUAGGAUAGAUUAUUAAUAUUUAUGAAGUGUAAACUCAAAGUCUACUCUAUUCAGCAACAUACUUUAUUCAGAAAUCAAAACAAUUUACUACUUGCGCGGAAUGCUAUGUUGCCGUCAUAGGACUUAAAAUUAAGUUAAUAACUAGCUCGGUCUAUUUCUAUAAGUAUAAACAGCUCAAUCUUUAAUGUUAUGUUAACAGAAAUCUUUUGUACAUUGGCCAGCUAAGCCACAGCCUUGCAUUUUAGAGACAACUUCCACUAUUACCGAAGUUGUAAACAAGCAGAAUCAAGUGCACUCAAAUGGCAGUAAAUGAGCUCCCACAGCUAAGACAGCACUUUCAUCAUAUAAAAAUAUCAUGUCCGUAUUGUUACACUUCACUAUUCCCCUCAUAUCAUUUGUCUCCAGAUGAAAACCUGGAUUUCAUUGCUUACAAACUGCACUCUAGCUUACUAAAUGAAGAAAAUUUCCACCGUAUGACAGAGAAAAUAAGUGGAAGAUAAUGGAAAAAAUUGCAUUUGAAAAUCAAGCGUUCAAUUUUCAGUAAAUACAUAUAUGCAAGCAGCUGAAAGGAACAGGAUAUGAAGCCAUCACAUGCAUAGCUAAAAUUAAUAAAACUUUUAAAAUAAGAUAGUAUUGGAAUAACAUUGCUACGAUUUUCUUUCAGAUAUUGAAUACCUCGGGUUAUAACAGAUGCUGAAGGCAUUUGUGCUAGAUAUGGCAUUAACCACAUCUACAAUACCACUGACAUUCAACAGUUGGCUAUAGGCAGCUAGAUAAUUUGAACAGGUUUUAGCUUGGGCAGCUCGUCUCACUCCUAACCUAAGUUCUCCAUCAGCAGUCCUGCAAAAAUGAUGGGAACGUGAGAAAGAAAACAACAUUAAUUUGAACAGGUUUUAGCUUGGGAAGCUCGUCUCACUCCUAGCCUAAGUUCUCCAUCAGCAGUCCUGCAAAAAUGAUGGGAACGUGAGAAAGAAAACAACAUAAUGCAGAAAUCCUUCCGGAUUUAGCAGUUCACAC
rnacentral:lncRNA from 1 species